rnacentral:rRNA from 1 species
ACAGCAGCCGCCGCGGGAAUACGGAGGGUGCAAGCGUUAUCCGGAUUUAUUGGGUUUAAAGGGUCCGUAGGCGGAUCUGUAAGUCAGUGGUGAAAUCUCACAGCUUAACUGUGAAACUGCCAUUGAUACUGCAGGUCUUGAGUAAAUUUGAAGUGGCUGGAAUAAGUAGUGUAGCGGUGAAAUGCAUAGAUAUUACUUAGAACACCAAUUGCGAAGGCAGGUCACUAAGAUUUAACUGACGCUGAUGGACGAAAGCGUGGGGAGCGAACAGGAUUAGAUACCCGCGUAGUCCCUGUCUCUUAUAC